AUGAACGCUGGCGGCGUGCCUAAUACAUGCCAGUCGAGCGAACAGAUGAGGAGCUUGCUCCUCUGACGUUAGCGGCGGACGGGUGAGUAACACGUGGAUAACCUACCUAUAAGACUGGGAUAACUUCGGGAAACCGGAGCUAAUACCGGAUAAUAUAUUGAACCGCAUGGUUCAAUAGUGAAAGACGGUUUUGCUGUCACUUAUAGAUGGAUCCGCGCCGCAUUAGCUAGUUGGUAAGGUAACGGCUUACCAAGGCAACGAUGCGUAGCCGACCUGAGAGGGUGAUCGGCCACACUGGAACUGAGACACGGUCCAGACUCCUACGGGAGGCAGCAGUAGGGAAUCUUCCGCAAUGGGCGAAAGCCUGACGGAGCAACGCCGCGUGAGUGAUGAAGGUCUUCGGAUCGUAAAACUCUGUUAUUAGGGAAGAACAAAUGUGUAUGUAACUAUGCACGUCUUGACGGUACCUAAUCAGAAAGCCACGGCUAACUACGUG
rnacentral:rRNA from 1 species